rnacentral:rRNA from 1 species
ACGUAAAGACAUAGGACUGGUAAAGUUAUCUAAUCUCAUUCUGAUCUUGGAAACUAAGGAGGGUUGGCCCUGUUUGGGACUGAAAUCAAAGACCACCUGGGAAUGCUGAGCACUCUACAUU